CAGUCGCCGCGGGAAUACGAAGGGGGCUAGCGUUGCUCGGAAUUACUGGGCGUAAAGGGAGCGUAGGCGGAUCGUUAAGUUGGGGGUGAAAGCCCGGGGCUCAACCUCGGAAUUGCCUUCAAUACUGGCGAUCUUGAGUAUGGAAGAGGUAUGUGGAACUCCGAGUGUAGAGGUGAAAUUCGUAGAUAUUCGGAAGAACACCAGUGGCGAAGGCGACAUACUGGUCCAUUACUGACGCUGAGGCUCGAAAGCGUGGGGGGCAAACAGGAUUAGAUACCCCAGUAGUCCCUGUCUCUUAUAC
rnacentral:rRNA from 1 species